UCUUCGGUAGUAUAUCGGAUAGUACACCCGCCUGUCAUGGGCUAUGAGCCAGUAGGCAUUUCGCGGGAGAGCGGGGUUCGACUCCCCGCCGAAGAG